rnacentral:rRNA from 1 species
AGUGAACGCUGGCGGUAGGCCUAACACAUGCCAGUCGAACGGCAGCACAGUAGGAGCUUGCUCUUACGGGUGGCGAGUGGCGGACGGGUGAGGAAUACAUCGGAAUCUACUUUUUCGUGGGGGAUAACGUAGGGAAACUUACGCUAAUACCGCAUACGACCUACGGGUGAAAGCAGGGGAUCUUCGGACCUUGCGCGAUUGAAUGAGCCGAUGUCGGAUUAGCUAGUUGGCGGGGUAAAGGCCCACCAAGGCGACGAUCCGUAGCUGGUCUGAGAGGAUGAUCAGCCACACUGGAACUGAGAAACGGUCCAGACUCCUACGGGAGGCAGCAGUGGGGAAUAUUGGACAAUGGGCGCAAGCCUGAUCCAGCCAUACCGCGUGGGUGAAGAAGGCCUUCGGGUUGUAAAGCCCUUUUGUUGGGAAAGAAAAGCAGCAGGUUAAUACCCCGCUGUUCUGACGGUACCCAAAGAAUAAGCACCGGCUAACUUCGUG